CAGACAUCGUAGGUUAGUUUCUUGACUGGCUGAUAGAAGCGCUAAAGCGAGGAGCAAAAAUAAACGUGGCCGCGGAAUCGAAUGUGCUGAGGUUUUCCCCAUACACCUCUCAGUCAUCAUAAUCAUCGACUGCGGCCCGGCCGACCAAAAUCCAGCAUG